rnacentral:rRNA from 1 species
UACUAGAGUAGCACUCGCAUAUCAAUAAGCGGAGGAAAAGAAACUAACAAGGAUUCCCCUAGUAACGGCGAGUGAAGCGGGAAGAGCUCAAAUUUGAAAUCUUAAAGGGUUUCCCUUUACGAAUUGUAGUUUAAAGAAGUGUUUUCUGUUGAGGUUUUGGUAAAAGUUCUUUGGAAUAGGACAUCAUAGAGGGUGAGAAUCCCGUAUUUGACCUUUACUUUCAACUUUGUGAUACACUUUCAAAGAGUCGGAUUGUUUGGGAAUGCAGUCCAAAAUGGGUGGUAAAUUUCAUCUAAAGCUAAAUAUUGGCGAGAGACCGAUAGCGAACAAGUACCGUGAGGGAGAGAUGAAAAGAACUUUGAAAAGAGAGUUAAACAGUACGUGAAAUUGUCAAAAGGGAAGCGUUUGACACCAGUGUUGUUUUUCUGAAAAUCAAUUAAAGAACUGUUUAUGCUAAGUUGUUUAGACUUUAUCAGCUAUCUGCUUAGUUUUGAGCUUUUCUUUAAUGCACUUUUCAGUUAACAAGUCAACAUCAAUUUCUUUUGCUGUAAAAAAGCUUGAGGAAGGUGGCUUGAGAUUCGUCUUAAGUGUUUAUAGCCUCUUGCCUAUGCAGUCGGAGAGAUUGAGGUCUGCAGCGUAGAUCCUUCGGGGCUAAAUGCAUUUGUGCUAAGUUAUAGCAUUUUAUAGACAACUUGUUGACUAUGAUUUGUCUUGUAGCUUACUCGCUUAUGUUAUAUUACCUACGCUUAGGAUGUUGAAGAUGUAGCACAUCAU